rnacentral:rRNA from 1 species
UACAGAGGGUGCGAGCGUUGUCCGGAAUCACUGGGCGUAAAGGGCGCGUAGGCGGCCGAUCAAGUCAGGGGUGAAAGCCUGUGGCUCAACCACAGAAUUGCCUUUGAUACUGUUCGGCUCGAGACCGGAAGAGGUAAGUGGAACUGCGAGUGUAGAGGUGAAAUUCGUAGAUAUUCGCAAGAACACCAGUGGCGAAGGCGGCUUACUGGUCCGGUUCUGACGCUGAGGCGCGAAAGCGUGGGGAGCAAACAGG